GCGCAUAUCUCUGCUCAUUCUGAGCCUGUAUUGGGUUUCAAAAUAUGCAUCCCGUUCCCCUAAAAAAAACGGAUGAGUGGAAACUCACUAUUACAAUAAUUAGCGUCAAACACCAAAUCACAAUCAUUAAUCCUCAGCCACUGGUCUGUCAAAACUAAAUUUAUCAGCCCGGAGUCCAGGAGUCUAUGCUGCUAUCAGCCCGGAGUCCAGGAGUCUAUGCUGCUAUAAGGACUCCGAUUCAAAGAUUGAAAAGAUAUUUGUAAAGAUUUUUCUAUAGUAUCUUUUACACCUACUUCAUUUGGUUAAGUUAUACAUAAUUUAAUUUUUCAAAAUUAAAAACUGAUUUUACUUACAUAUAACAUUUUUUCAAUUAGAACUAUUAUUUUAUGUGUUUACUAAUUUAAUUUUUAAUGAUAGAUUUGUAUCUGCUUUAUUUUCUUUUUUAUUAAUUUCUUAUCAAAUAUAUUGCACAAAUGUUUUCUAAUUGCUUAAAGUUGAAAAUAGGUUUAGCGGACUGUACUUGGUUACCUUCUUGUGGUGCUUACAUUAUAACUGAUUUUAAAAAGUAACUUCGUAACUGAUGUUUUUUAUGUGAUUAACUAAAAGCCGAUACAAAGUAUUAAAUACGCAAAUAAAUUCUUUAAAUUGUUAUCAAUGAGUACAUAAUUAUUAUAUAUAUAAAUUAACAUUACUUAAAUUGCAAGAACCCGUUUUACUGAUCACAUUUAAUAUUUAUUUAUUAUAGUAUAAUCGCAUUUCUGGUUUACAUGAUUUAGAAUAAAUUUAAAAAAUUAUUAA
rnacentral:lncRNA from 1 species